UAACGGUAAAGUUCCAGUGAUUUCUAUAAACAUGGCAUAUUUAUUAUUUAUGGUUGGAGUUUUCAGUCUUGUUCGCAUUAUAUCUCCUUCAGCAGAAAAAGAAAACUUGUACAAGGUAUCCGAAAAUAUUAAUGAUGCUGUCGAUGGAGAAAAGUUUUUCAAAAACGUUGUUAAUGGGGAGAGUGGAGUUCAAUUAUAUCUUUAUGAUAUUAUUUAUACUACUGUCGAUAAGUUAUGCUGAAAUUCAAGGCCCAUUACCAUGGGUUCGGUGGUCAUGGUCAUUACCCCAAGAACCAAUAGAAUAUAACUUUCGACGGCAUGAAUAUAAUAACUUGAUGCCAGUAAAAUAUCCAGAUAUUGUAUGCGAAUGUCCUCCCAAUAAAGAGUGUUCUAUGGAGUAUAAGUUUAACGAAGAUAUGUUACAUUUUUUGCUUAUAAGGGGUUUAAUCAAAAGCGAAGAUCUGAGACAGUUAAAAGAAGACUUUUUGAAAACAAAUGAAAGUGAAAGCAGGAACGAUGCAUUGGUUAGAAAGAGAAGAAAUGGGGAGAUUAUAGGCGAUCCAAAAAAAUUAAAAAAAGACUGUUGCUGUCCACCAAUAACAGUGAAAGUACCUACAUUCAUAACUAGUAAAAGGUUUGAAGAGGUUCUUGAACGAACAAGUAAAAUAAAAAACGUUAAAUUGUAAAGUUAA